UCCCAAAUCAAAAUUCCCCCCCAAUCCCUAAUCCCCCAAAUUACAACCUCCGAAGAACCCUCUCUACUCUCGGUCACCUCCCUCCAUCGCCUUCAUUAGAGCCGCUGCCCCCUGGCCCCCUAGACCUCAUUCGCCUAAAUUAUCGUCGUGUAAGCUACCGUCGCAAACCUUCUGUAGCAAUCAAAGUGGCAACAAGAGGUUCUAAUUACUAUUCCACCCUCAAUGUCGACAGAAAUGCAAGCUUGCAGGAGAUCAAGGCCUCUUAUCGCAAACUUGCUCGCAAGGGGAAUCAACAAUGAAGAAAUAAUACAUUUGAGACAAAAAAAAUCUGUCAUACUUGAGAGAGGAGAACUAUCAGAUUGCACUUACAUUGGUUGUGCUCAUCUCAAAAAUUGCUCGGAUUGAUUAUCCCAGAGAAUGGUCAAUGAGACAACAUGAUUCUAAAGGAAGCAACUUCUGUCUUGGACUACAUGAACAGUUUUAUGAUUAUAUAUAGUGUUUUGUUGUAUAUUUUUGAAUAGUAUAUAUGAUUGUUAAAAUGUUACUUUUAGUUGAAUAUCUUUUUUGAUGUACAUUUUUUAAUAGUAUAUACAAUUGUCAAAGUGUUAUUUUUAGUUGAACAUAUUUUUUGGUAUAA